rnacentral:rRNA from 1 species
GGGCAGGGGGACUGUGGUUUAUUCAACACGCGCAGAACCUUACCAGCCCUUGACAUCCCGGUCGCGGACAGGAGAGAUCCUGUCCUUCAGUUCGGCUGGACCGGUGACAGGUGCUGCAUGGCUGUCGUCAGCUCGUGUCGUGAGAUGUUGGGUUAAGUCCCGCAACGAGCGCAACCCUCGCCCUUAGUUGCCAGCAUUUGGUUGGGCACUCUAAGGGGACUGCCGGUGAUAAGCCGAGAGGAAGGUGGGGAUGACGUCAAGUCCUCAUGGCCCUUACGGGCUGGGCUACACACGUGCUACAAUGGUGGUGACAGUGGGCAGCGAGACCGCGAGGUCGAGCUAAUCUCCAAAAACCAUCUCAGUUCGGAUUGCACUCUGCAACUCGGGUGCAUGAAGUUGGAAUCGCUAGUAAUCGUGGAUCAGCAUGCCACGGUGAAUACGUUCCCGGGCCUUGUACACACCGCCCGUAA